rnacentral:lncRNA from 13 species
CAUCCCUUAGUGGGUGAUUUCUGGGUGUGAGGAGACAUUUGCUACCACUCAAGGCACCGUGGGACUUGUGUUGUGGGGUCUUGCACCCAGGCUGGUGUAUAGCCUCGACUUCCUUCGCUGAAGCCAUCCUCCCACCUCAGCCUCCUGAGUAGCUGGGACCACAGACCCAUGUCACAAUGGUACUCCACAGGUUGGUAUUUGGCCUCUAACUUCUCCUGCCCUCAUGAGAUUUGUUCCAUUACUGAGCAGACCAAACAUGGGAGAGCUGGACUGUAGAGUUUAUAGGCACCUUCUUGGUCACCUCAGAAACAGAAGGCAGAGUCUCACUCUGGCACCAGGCUGGAGUGCGGUGGCGCAAUCUUGGCGAAUUAGCUCUGUUUGAGCUGGGACAUCCAUCUUCUCCUCUCAGACAUUGAUGCUCCUGGUUCUUAGGCCUUUGGACUUGAGGACUUACACCAGCAUCUCUUUGCCAUGCGCCCCUUUUCCCUCCCCCAUUCUCGGGCCUUUGGACUCAGACUGAUUACACCCCUGGCUUUCCUUGUUCUCCAGCUUGCAGACAG